GAACGGGUGAGUAAUGCAUCGGAACGUACCCAGUAGUGGGGGAUAACUUACCGAAAGGUAAGCUAAUACCGCAUACGCACUGAGGUGGAAAGCAGGGGACCGCAAGGCCUUGCGCUAUUGGAGCGGCCGAUGUCGGAUUAGCUAGUUGGUGGGGUAAAGGCCUACCAAGGCGACGAUCCGUAGCGGGUCUGAGAGGAUGAUCCGCCACACUGGAACUGAGACACGGUCCAGACUCCUACGGGAGGCAGCAGUGGGGAAUUUUGGACAAUGGGCGCAAGCCUGAUCCAGCCAUGCCGCGUGAGUGAAGAAGGCCUUCGGGUUGUAAAGCUCUUUCGGCCGGGAAGGAAUCGUGGUGGCGAAUACCUGCCAUGGACGACGGUACCGGACUAAGAAGCACCGGCUAACUACGUGCCAGCAGCCGCGGUAAUACGUAGGGUGCGAGCGUUAAUCGGAAUUACUGGGCGUAAAGCGUGCGCAGGCGGUUGUGUAAGACAGGCGUGAAAUCCCCGGGCUCGACCUGGGAACUGCGCUUGUGACUGCACGGCUAGAGUACGGCAGAGGGGGGUGGAAUUCCACGUGUAGCAGUGAAAUGCGUAGAGAUGUGGAGGAACACCGAUGGCGAAGGCAGCCCCCUGGGUCGAUACUGACGCUCAUGCACGAAAGCGUGGGGAGCAAACAGGAUUAGAUACCCUGGUAGUCCACGCCCUAAACGAUGUCGACUAGUUGUUGGAGGGGUAAAACCCUUUAGUAACGUAGCUAACGCGUGAAGUCGACCGCCUGGGGAGUACGGCCGCAAGGUUAAAACUCAAAGGAAUUGACGGGGACCCGCACAAGCGGUGGAUGAUGUGGAUUAAUUCGAUGCACGCGAAAACCCUUCCUACCCUUGCCAU
rnacentral:rRNA from 1 species